rnacentral:rRNA from 1 species
AUAGAACGCUGGCGGCAGGCUUAACACAUGCAAGUCGAGCGGAGAUGAGGUGCUUGCACCUUAUCUUAGCGGCGGACGGGUGAGUAAUGCUUAGGAAUCUGCCUAUUAGUGGGGGACAACAUUCCGAAAGGAAUGCUAAUACCGCAUACGCCCUACGGGGGAAAGCAGGGGAUCUUCGGACCUUGCGCUAAUAGAUGAGCCUAAGUCGGAUUAGCUAGUUGGUGGGGUAAAGGCCUACCAAGGCGACGAUCUGUAGCGGGUCUGAGAGGAUGAUCCGCCACACGGGGACUGAGACACGGCCCAGACUCAUACGGGAGGCAGCAGUGGGGAAUAUUGGACAAUGGGCGGAAGCCUGAUCCAGCCAUGCCGCGUGUGUGAAGAAGGCCUUUUGGUUGUAAAGCACUUUAAGCGAGGAGGAGGCUACCUGGAUUAAUACUCUAGGAUAGUGGACGUUACUCGCAGAAUAAGCACCGGCUAACUCUGUGCCAGCCGCCGCAGUAAUAC